UGGGGAAUUUUGGACAAUGGGCGCAAGCCUGAUCCAGCCAUGCCGCGUGCGGGAAGAAGGCCUUCGGGUUGUAAACCGCUUUUGUCAGGGAAGAAAUCUUCUGAGUUAAUACCUCGGGAGGAUGACGGUACCUGAAGAAUAAGCACCGGCUAACUACGUGCCAGCAGCCGCGGUAAUACGUAGGGUGCAAGCGUUAAUCGGAAUUACUGGGCGUAAAUGCGUGCGCAAGGCGGUUUUGUAAGACAGAGGUGAAAUCCCCGGGCUCAACCUGGGAACUGCCUUUGUGACUGCAAGGCUUGAGUGCGGCAGAGGGGGAUGGAAUUCCGCGUGUAGCAGUGAAAUGCGUAGAUAUGCGGNGGAACACCGUGGCGAAGGCAAUCCCCUGGGCCUGCACUGACGCUCAUGCACGAAAGCGUGGGGAGCAAACAGGAUUAGAUACCCUGGGUAGUCC
rnacentral:rRNA from 1 species